ACAUGGAAGACAGUCGCUCUUUUCAGAGCGUGAUUGAAGUGAUUGACGAAUUUGGUAAGUUGGUCCACCCAUCAAUGUGUGAAGUUCCCUUGAUGGAUUUAGUCGUAAUAAUUAAAAAAAAAAAUUGUUUUUAUUGUUGGCACCAUGCUGUUGGCUGAGACACGAAUUUUGCUGAAAGACUAUUGGAAACCAUACUGUCGACCACGUCGAGAAGCUGAGUAACAUUCUGCUUUUACAAAGGCACCUCUUAAUAAAAGGAACUUAAGCCAUCCAAUAUAGGACUUCCAUCAAAUCGUGUAGGCUGCAUGGAAGUCGCAUUUACCUUUGCUGUGAACAUCAUGAACACAUACACUAUUUGAAGGUUCAUGUUUACGUAGCAGUGGUGUUGCUGUC